rnacentral:lncRNA from 1 species
GUGGGCAGCCGGACGUACCCUGGCAGGGAGCAGCAGGUGGCGGCGGUGCAUGGGGCCUGGCCCCACCAGCGGGCACUGGCCCACAGCCACGGCCGGGGGGCCAUCUAGCUGGAGAGAGAAGGGACAGCAACUCCAUCCGCUCCUGCAACUGCCGGACGUGUGCCUCUAGGUCCCGGUUCCGAGCCUCUGCCUCGCGUAGUUGACUGUGGGGAGGUAAGGACGGAACAAAUCAGGAUUCCCACCUGCCCAAGGCCUUUGCCCUGGAGGCUCUCGCCUGACCACUUGGCACCUUUCCUUCCAUGGCUUGUUUCUCCUUCACCAGCGCUCAGCUCAAAGAUCGACUUCUCAGAUCCCCAGCAACACACACACCCUUACUUAAUGCCCCACUGUAACUACAGAGACCGUCCCAUGUCUGAAGUAA